AUUGAACGCUGGCGGCAGGCCUAACACAUGCAAGUCGAACGAGUGGCGGACGGGUGAGUAAUGUCUGGGACACUGCCCGAUGGCGGGGGAUAACUACUGGAAACGGUAGCUAAUACCGCAUACCAUCGGAUGUGCCCAGAUGGGAUUAGCUAGUAGGUGGUGUAACGGCGCACCUAGGCGACGAUCCCUAGCUGGUCUGAGAGGAUGACCAGCCAGACUGGAACUGGGACACGGUCCAGACUCCUACGGGAGGCAGCAGUGGGCAAUAUUGCACAAUGGGCGCAAGCCUGAUGCAGCCAGGCCGCGUGUAUGAAGAAGGCCUUCGGGUUGUAAAGUACUUUCAGCGGGGAGGCGUUACUCGCAGAAGAAGCACCGGCUAACUCCGUGCCAGCAGCCGCGGUAAUUC
rnacentral:rRNA from 1 species